GGAAGAGCUUCUCGGCUCUAGGCUCUGGAGUCCCGGGAGCAGUGAGGGGCCACCCGGGGCACAGGAAAGGGCCGCUAGGGGAGGGCCGGGUGCACUCGGGGUGUCUGGGCCGCGGGUCUGAGGGAUGAGGAGGGGCCAUGGCCAGCGACGGGGCCAGGAAGCAAUUCUGGAAGCGCAGCAACAGCAAGCUCCCGGGCAGCAUCCAGCACGUGUAUGGUGCCCAGCACCCCCCCUUUGAUCCACUGUUACAUGGCACUUUGCUCAGGUCCACGGCCAAGAUGCCGACCACACCAGUGAAGGCCAAGAGGGUCAGCACCUUCCAGGAGUUUGAGAGCAAUACCAGCGAUGCCUGGGACGCUGGGGAGGACGACGAUGAGCUCCUGGCCAUGGCGGCGGAGAGCCUGAACUCCGAGGUGGUCAUGGAGACGGCCAACCGUGUGCUGCGUAACCACAGCCAGCGGCAGGGGCGGCCCACGCUGCAGGAGGGGCCAGGGCUUCAGCAGAAGCCCAGGCCCGAGGCAGAGCCGCCCUCACCCCCCAGCGGCGACCUCCGGCUGGUGAAGUCGGUCAGUGAGAGCCACACGUCCUGUCCUGCAGAAAGUGCCAGCGAUGCCGCCCCUCUGCAGAGGUCCCAGUCUCUCCCACACUCGGCCACCGUCACGCUGGGUGGCACAUCUGACCCCAGCACUCUCAGCAGCUCAGCGCUGAGCGAAAGAGAGGCCUCCCGGCUCGACAAGUUCAAGCAGCUGCUUGCCGGCCCCAACACGGACCUUGAGGAAUUACGGAGGUUGAGCUGGUCCGGAAUCCCUAAGCCAGUGCGUCCAAUGACGUGGAAGCUCCUCUCAGGUUACCUUCCCGCCAAUGUAGACCGGAGACCAGCCACUCUCCAGAGAAAACAAAAAGAAUAUUUUGCAUUUAUUGAGCACUAUUACGAUUCUAGGAACGACGAAGUUCACCAGGACACAUACAGGCAGAUCCACAUAGACAUCCCUCGCAUGAGCCCUGAAGCGUUGAUCCUGCAGCCCAAGGUGACGGAGAUUUUUGAAAGGAUCUUGUUCAUAUGGGCGAUCCGCCACCCAGCCAGUGGAUACGUUCAGGGUAUAAAUGAUCUCGUCACUCCUUUCUUUGUGGUCUUCAUUUGUGAAUACAUAGCCUUUCCAGGUUGUGGUCGGCCUCAGAUUCCCAUCCUUGCUGUGAUCUGGAGAGAUGAGCCUUACCCGAGGACAGAUGAACAGAUUAUCCUCAGAAGAUGAGGACAUAUCCAAGUAGUGAAUUUUACUGCAGCCCUCUGACACUUUGUUUCCAUUUGUGAUUUCAUAGGAGGUUGUCUCAUUGCUAAGCAACUAAUGAGAGCUGCCUCGGCUCACUCCCUAAUCAUCUCUUAAGUAGGGGAGAGGCUACUCCUGAGGGUGCUUGCUUUUCUGCCUCUUACCCCUCAUUUGACAGAUAAUGAAAAUGCUCUUAAUGAUCCUAGAACAGUAGGACCUCUGUCAGUAGACUUCAGAGUUGUUAAUUGAAAGGAGAAGUUCAACUGAGAUGUGAUUAGAGAAUUGAUAUUCCAUGUUAAAUAGACCAUUUAAUUAAUGUGGUAAAUAAGUUUGUUUUAACUACUUUACCGCCAACUUCUGUUGUAAGACCUAAGCGAUUCUUAAUGCAUUUGCCUGAUUAUCUGCAAGACAGGAUGAAGGGGCAUGACCACGAUCUUAAUUGUCCAGAAGAAAGAAAGCCUGGAGAAAAUGGAAUUUGUGUCCUAUAAGUGGUGUCUUCAGAUGAGCUCAGAGACACUCUCCUUGCCUUCCUGCGUCCCCAUCCUUCCUGCAUCGCCGUCACACACGCAGGCACAUGCACACACACAUGCACACAUCAGAACACAACUACACAUUGGGUAUACGGUGUCACUUUUGAACAUCUGUGUAAAACAUACCAUUUAUUUCUGUCAGUCAACUAUUAAGUGGACAUAUAAAAAUGUUUGGGCCAGGCGCUGUGGCUCACGCCUGUAAUCCGAGCACUUAAGGAGGUUGAUGCAGAUGAAUCACGAGGUCAGGAGUUUGAGACCAUCCUGGCUAACAUGGUGAAACCCCGUCUCUACUAAAAAUACAAAAAAUUAGCUGGGCGUGCUGGCAUGCACCUGUAGUUCCAGCUACUCGGGAGGCUGAGGCAGGAGAAUCGCUUGAGACUGGGAGGCGGAGGUUGCAGUGAGCCGAGAUCGCGCCACUGCACUCCAGCCUGGGUGACAGAAUGAGACUCCAUCUCAAAAAAAAAAAAAAAAAAGAAGUUCGGUCCUGGAUUUCACAUGUGAUUAUUGCAUUUGUAGUCCUUUUUAGAUCUAGCUUCCUAGGUUUGGGGAAUGUUCAUUAGUACAGUCCAAGUCCGCCUUUCAUUAUGUUGUAAAGAAGCGUUUAACUUGCGUGGUGUGCUGUCCAGAUUCCUUAUGGGGCUGAAGUUGAGUCAUUCACGCGGCCCUUCAUGGAGCACCUGCCCUGGUGCUGGGUGUGGUGCAGAGCGCUGCGGUGGGGAGAUGACUUCGGUUCAACGCAGCCAGUGUUGACAGAGCAUCUCCUGGCCCUGUGCUGUGGGAGUGGGGCAGGAGAACAAGGAAAGCCUGAUCCCUGUCCUCUUGGAGUUUGUGGUUGUAGCACGGAAGACAGAUUUUAGAGGAGUAAUUUAAAGUCUUAAUUAAAGUAAUUAACAUUCACAUUAUCAAGAGGAAGCCUGGGCUGCUGUAGGGACCUGUCCCCUUAUAGGGGUCAGGGGAGGCCUCCAGGGUGAGGUGAUGUUUUAGCCAUGUCUCGCGGGAUGAGGAGGAGGCUAGAUUGAGGCCGGGCAUUCAGAGAGGGCAGCAGAAGGGCCGGCCUGGAAUCCAAGGUGCAGUGACAAGUAGUGGCAUUGGGAGGAAGGGCAGGGCGGCUUGGGCUGCAGUGCUGAGAAGGAGAAGCUUGGGGUCGAGUCCCAGGGGUGUGCGAAACCCCCAGCCACUGUGCUCAGGUUCUUAUCUUUGAACAUUCAUUCUGGCAGCUGCGUGGAUGAGAUUGGAGGGUUUCUGGGGAAGCUCAUAGACCAGGGACCCGCAGGGUCCAGCACCGGCAGAGGCACGGGUGCCCUCCAGAGAGGCUAUUCUGGUUUGCUGAACUCUUAGUUUGCUGGGUCUUCAAGCCGGUAAACCUCAGAUGCUCUGCUUAGUGAAGAUCUUCAAGAUUGACUGUUCCUUCAGAGAACAGAGCCUGGUAAUGGGAUUCUGUGGUUUCGACACCUGAGCACCUGCCAGUCCUUGGGCCUCAGCGUUCAGGUUAUCAUGUGACCGCUCAUACACCUUUGGUGCAGCUGCCAGUGGCACUAGCCCGGGUGUGGCUACCUCCUGAGAGCUGCAGCUGGCCUGGUUCUGGGGAUGAGCUUGUGUUGUUACUUGGAUAUUCCUCUUUUCUUUGAAGUACAGGAUAGCAUCCCAGUUAAUCAAAGGUUUAAGAAAUCCCCGGGGUGUGGGAUUUCUCCAGGGGCUUUCAGGCAACAGCAGACAGAUCUGUGAUGCCUGAGUGGGAGCUGGGCUCUUUCUGGGGAUGUGUGUUCGCCAUGUGUCCAGAGCCUGUAAAGAUCCACAGAUCCUGGCCUGCCAUAUGCUCCCACUGGUUUCACGGGAGGUGGGGAAUCCUGGAGUGUGGCAUUGGUCCUGAGUAGGAGCAGCUCUUCGGGAGUGGCUCAUCGUUCUGGCUGUCAGUGGGAGGUUCCAACUCUGCACAUGCUGGCACUCAGAGCCCUCUCAGUGUUACGUUCUUUGACUUGGAAAGAAGGAUGUGGUGGGCUUCAGAUUCCCAUCCUUGCUGUAAUCUGGAGAGAUGAGCUUUACCCGAGGACAGAUCAUCCCCCGAGGAUGAGGACAUAUGCAUGUAGUGAAUUGUAUUGCAACCCCUCUGACACUUUGUUUCCAGUUAUGAUUUCAUAGGAGGUUGUCUCAUUGCUAAGCAACUAAUGAGAGCUGCUGUGGUUGAGGUUGACACACAGGACCUGGUCUGAAGGCAGACCAGUCGACUAGGUGAACUGCUUCCCAGCACAGAGGAGAAUGUUCAUCUUCAGCAGGAGGCUGGCCAGGAUGUCAGAGUCAGAGAAACAGUUUGUAGUGGGGGAGCAAUGCUCAAGCUGUGUGGAGGUGUGCUCAGAGGUGGGUUAGGGUUCGAUGGGUCUCCAUGGGUGCCAGGACACUGCCGGCCUGAGUCAGGAAUACAUGGUAUGCAUCCCAGCAGUCCUCGUGGAGCUCACCACUAUUUGAGAAGGGCAGUUUGGUCCUGCUGUUGAUGGAUGCAGAGUCUGUAAAUGCAUGUUUAGGGCAUGCUCUUGCACACACACAUGCUGUGCACACAGGCGUGCAGGCACGUGCACGCGGACAUACAUAACCAUACAGAGACACAAACCCACUUGCACACUCCUCACUAGUGCUAGCCUCAACCUCUCCAAGCAAAUGGGGAACAAAUCUGUAAUCAACCUUUGUUUGAGUGGCACCCACCAGUUUCGCUCAGGCCCUGGAGGUGCCUGUCAUUGGAGAAAGAGGUCAAGCGAUCUUGCGUGACCUCAGAGGCAGGGGCAGCCGUGUGCAAAGCAUGUGAAGACAGUGAAGUCCAGUAAAUACAGCCAGUUCGACAUCACCGAAGCUUGGGGAGAAAACUCUACAAGUGAAAACGAAGUGAGAGGGUAUAAUGUGAUGGGAGAGAUCGAUCAUGGAGAAGUUCUCUAUGCCAGGAAGGUUUCGCAGCUCAUAAAUUUCAGAGGUUGAAGCCUUAGGGAGUGGGGAAGAAACUAGAGGCACAUAGUGAUACAUUUGCUGAAGCUUGAAUGUGCCCAUUCCAGAUCAGAGCCAAGCGUGCGUGCUUGUUCUUGCAGAUUGCGUCCUUGACCCAUGGGGCGGGCAGAGUGUGGAGGAGACUCCAGUUAGCACAGCCAUUGGAGACGACACUCAGCUAGGAACAGGCGGAAGACACACUUUUUAGUCUAAUCUUUUAGAAUUGAGAGGAAACAGCAAGGCACGUGCUACUUUGGACUUAGUUCAGGCCAUGGAAGAAGGCAGGUCUAGGAUGAGAAUAACAUAGGGUCCAGGGCAUCUUAGAGUUUGUAACAGCAGAGGAGUGACACCUGGUCUAGAGACACUGAGGGGUACAGGAGCAGGCCCAGACCAGAGGCCGGUGGAGGCAGGAGACUCGCUGACGGAGGACUGGGCCUGAGAGGAGGGCCUGGUCCUGGAUGUCAAAUAGGCUGCUGUGAGGGCACCAAGGUGGCUUGGUGUGAGUAGAGGGGAGCGUGAACGAGAAGGAAAAAUCCAGUCACCUCCUAGAUUCCUGGCCCUGUGAGGGGUGUGGUGCCGUUUACCAGGAUGAGACGUGGAGUAGAAAGAGCGGGUUGAGGAGGCGGGAUGGGGUUCUGAUUUAGGAUGUGCUGAGUGUGCUCUGUCGGCAGUGAUUGAGUAGAAGAGUCUGUUGGGAUCCGGGCCUUGGCAGGAGAUCUGCAGUGGAGGUUAGUCUGGAAAUUGUCGGCCUGGAAAUGGCUGCUGACAGUCGCGGCUGUGGAUGUGUGUGUCUGGGGAGAGUGGAGUGCAGCGGGUCACAGGAUCCAGUGGCUCUCUGAUGUGUCAGGGGUCUCCGAGCUGUGACUGUCUGUGACUCGAGGAGCUGGCAAUGGGGCUGUCCCACAGGGAGGUUUAUGGCGCUCUCCCAUGCCGGAGUCUGGGCGUUGAGAGUCCAGGUGGCUCCUGCUGCUGAGGGCCGCCUUUGGGAUCUGUGAAGGAUGCAAUGCAGCUCUGGGGCCUGACCGCUGGGGUCCAGAUCCAGACGCUGCCCCUGAAGAGCUGCAGGCGGCCUUGGUGCCUCAGUGAUCUCUGCAGUGGACACGAAAUGGAGAUCGUAAUGGCACCAGUCCCUUGGUUGGUGUGAACACUGAGCGAGGCAAAAACAGCUUAGAACCAGGUUUGGAGAGAGGGAGAUGGUGCAGGGUGCAGGGCCGAGGCCAAAGCACGCCUCAGCUGAGCCUAUGUGUUUUCGGAAGCUUUCCUGGAACCCACACAGCGAUGUCCUCCAUCAGCCACACCCUUGCCACCCACCAGCCACAGGGGACCUGGAGAAGAUGUGGGUGGAGACAGGAGGCAAGGAAGAGGGUCUGUGUGUGUGUGCAUGCAGGCUGCCAGACCAGUGUGUGCCCCGGGGAGAGGUAUGGUGGUGUGGUAAGGAAAUGGAGAAGAAGUGGUUUCAGAGGUAAGACAAAGGCCAGGCCUGAGGUAUCACAGAAAUCAAGGGAGGGGACAACUUCAGGAAGGAGGGAGUGGUCAGCAGAGCUCAUAGGGAUGGAGACUGAAAAUUGGUCAAAGCAUUUGAUAGUGGGGAUCUUGCUAGCGACCUGCCAAAUCUGGCUGAAGAAUAGUGGCAAGCAAACUGUCACAUCAGCUCCCUGCCCUCCCUCAGAAAUGGGGGCCUGAAUGUUUCUGUGCUUGGGGAAGAUUGCACUCAGUGGACCACAGCCUCUUGCAACUUUAUUUUAAAUAAUUUUUUAUGAUGGAAAGUUUCAAACACAAAGUCAACAAAAUUGUCCGAAGAACCCGCGUGCCCGUCAUCUGACUCCAGCAGUCACCGUUCUCCUUCCUUCUGUCCCCCACCCACUCCCAACCUCCAUGCAACUUUACUUACUACUGCUGUUUAAAAACAGCUUUAUUGAGAUUCAGUUUAGAAACCAUAACGUUUACCCACUUAGAGUGUAAAGUUGAAAGAUUUUUAGAAUAUUUAGAGUAGUGUAACCAUCAGCACCUUUGUUUUUAGAAUAUUUUCAUCAUCCCCAAAAGAAAUCCUAUACUCAUUGGCAGUCACUCCCCAUCCUUCCCUUUUCUCUUGUCCACUAGCCCCAGGCAGCCUCUCAUUUGCUUUCUGUGUCUGUGGAUUUGCUUCUUCUGGACAUUUCACGUGAGUGGAAUUACAUGGUGCGUGGCCCUUUGUGUCUGGCUUCUUCCACUUGGCAUCAUGCUUCCAAGGUUCAUCCACGCAGCGUGAAUCAGUACUUCCUUCAUUCCGUAGCCAGGUAACGUCUCCGGGUACGGACGCAGCACGUUGUGUUUCUCCACUCAUCUGUUGGUGAACAUUUGGAUUGUUUUCAUUUUUCGACUAAUAUUGUUUCCAUUUUUGACUAAUAUUUUGACUAACAGGAAUAACGUUGCUAUGAGUAUUCAUGUACAAGUCUUCGUGUAGAUAUGUGUUUCCAUUUCUGUUGGUAUAUAACUGGGAGAAUUACUGGGUCACAUGGUUACUCUGUUUAACCUUUUGAGGACCUGCCGGACUGCUUUCCCACGUGGCGGCACCAUUUUCCCUGCCCAUAGCAUUGUGGGAGGAGCGUAUGUUUCCUCUUCCUGCAGGAGUGUGUCCACAUCCUGGUCAACACUUGUCAUCAUCUUUCACUCUUUUUUUUUUUUUUGUAGACUUUACUGAAUCUUAUAUUAAUUUAAAGAGAUUGAGUUCUGCCUCUUACUCUCAAACUGUGAUAAAAACUCAGAUAAGAAGGGAUGUUGACUGUAGAAAUCAUUUGUAAAGAGGAAUAAAUUCCCCGGUGCUGCUGUUUUCCCCAUAGCCCAGCAACUUCAGUGUUGACAGCCUUUGUGCCCAGUGCCAAAUUCCCUGUCAUAAGAGGGAACCUUUAUGGCAACUGUUUAACCCCCUUAAAAUGGAUGCACAUGCUGAUGUUUUCUUCUAGGCUUAAAGCUGAGUGUUAGGUAUAUAUGUGUUUGUUUGUAUGUAUGUAUGUAUGUAUGUAUGUAUGAAUGAAGGAGAGAGACAGAGUGUUGCUCUAUUGCCUAGGCUAAGUGCACUAACGUUAUCAUAGUUCAUGGCAGCUGCAACCUCCCAGGCUUAAGUGAUGCUCCUACCUCAGCCUCCCAAGUAGCUGGGACUACAGGCAUGCACCACCACGCCUGACUAAUUUUUUAUUUUUUGUAGAGGCAGAGUCUUGCUAUAUUGCCCUGGUUGGUCUCAAACUCCUGGACUCAAGGAAUUCUUCUUCCUUGGCCUCUCAAAGUGCUGGGAUUACAGGCACGAGCCACUGUGCCUAGCUCAAAGCUGGGUAUUCUCCCAUUCUAAUAAUCAUUUAGUCAUGUCCUAUGACAAUUAUACCUUAACUUUUUAGAAGGGAUAUAUGGAAAGGUAAAAUUUCCAUAUAUUCCCUAAAACUCAUGGAGGCUGUGAUUCUGUUUCAUUCCUGAUGUGUGCUCUGUUUUCUUUUUUCCUGUUGUGCCUCUCCCAGGUAGAUUCGCUGCUCCUCGAAUCUGGGGACUGUGUCGCAUGCGUGUGUCAUGCUUUGCACAGAGAAGCUUCGUGGAUUAGAGAAACUCUGUUGAAUUGGAUCCCUACAGAAAGUUUUUGUGUUUAUAGAGCACUUUAUUAGUAUUUGUUUAAACACUGAAACAAUAUAUAAUUUUUAUUUAUUUUUUGAAGUUAACAUUAUGUUAUUUAUUCAUUUUUUUUUUUUGAGAUGGUGUCUCUGUUGCUCAGGCUGGAGUGCAGUCGUGCGAUAUCGGCUCACUGCAACCUCUGCCUCCUGGGUUCAAGCGAUUCUCCUGUCUUAGCCUCCUGAGUAGCUGGGAUUACAGGUGUGUGCCACCAUGCCCGGCUAAUUUUUGUAUUUUUAGUAGAGACAGGGUUUUACCAUGUUGGCCAGGCUGGUCUCGAACUCCUGACCUCAAGUGAUCCACCCACCUCGGCCUCCCAAAGUGCUGGGAUUACAGGCAUGAGCCACUGUGCCCGGCUACUAUGUUGUUAUUAUUUUUUAACUUUUAUUUUAGGUUCAAGGGUACAUGUACAGGUUUUUUAUAUAGGUAAAUUGUGAGUCACAGGGGUUUGGUGUACAGAUUAUUUAGUUACCCAGGUAAUAAGCGUAGUACCCGAGAGGUAGUUUCUCGAUUCUGACCCUCCUCCCGCUCUCCACCCUCAGGCAGGCCCUGGUGUCUAUUGUUUGCUUCUUUGGGUCCAUGUGUACUCAAUAUUUAGCUCCCACUUAUAAGUGAGAACAUGCAGUAUUUGGUUUUCUGUGCCUGUAUUGGUUCUUUUAGGAUAAUGACCUCCAUCUCCGUCCAUGUUGCUACAAAGGAUGUGAUCUUGUUCUUUUUUAUAGCUGAAUAGUAUUCCAUGGUGUAUAUGUACCACAUUUUCUUUAUCCAGUCCACCAUUGAUGGACAUUUAGGUUGUUUCCAUAUUUUUUGCUAUUGUAAAUAGUGCUAUGAUGAACAUACACGUGUAUGUGUCUUUAUGGUACAGUGAUUGAUAUUCCUUUGGGUGUAUACCCAAUAAUGGGAUUGCUGGGUUGAACAGUAGUUCUGCUUUAAGUUAUUAGAGAAAUCACCGAACUGCUUUCCAUAGUGGCUGAACUAUUUACAUUCUCACUAGCAGUGUAAAAGCAUUUUCUUUUGUCUACAACCUCCACAGCAUCUGUUUUUUUUUUUGACUUUUUAAUAAUAGUCUUUCUGACUGGUAUGUGAUGGUAUGCAAAUAUGGUUUGCAAAUAUUUUCUCCUGUAGGUUGUAUGUUUACUCUGUUGAUAGUUUCUUUUGCUGUGCAGAAGCUCUUUAGUGUAAUGAAGUCCCAUUUGUUAAUUUUUGUUUUUGUUGCAAUUGCUUUUGACAUCUUGGUCAUGAAAUCUUUGCCAGGGUCUGUGUCUGGAGUGGUAUUUCCUUACAUUAUCUUACAGGAUGUUUACAGUUUUAGGUUUUACAUGUAAGUCUUUAAUCUAUCUUGAGUUGAUUUUGGUAUAACAAAGGGGUCUAGUUUCAAUCUUCUGUGUAUGGCUAACCAGUUAUCCCAGCACCAUUUAUUGAAUAGGGAGUCCUUUCUCCAUUGCUUGUUUUUGUCCACUUUGUCAAAGAUCAGAUGGCUGUAAAUGUGUGGCUUUAUUUCUGGGCUCUCUCUUCUGUUCCAUUGGUCUGUGUGUCUGUUUUUGUUAUUGUGCCAUGUUACCAGUGCCAUGCUGUUUUUGUUAGUGUAGCCUUGAAGUAUAGUUUCAAGUGUACUCACAAGUAUAUUCAUAAGCAUGAAUAUUGUAAUGCCUCCAGCUUUGUUCUUUUUUGCUUUGGAUUGCUUUGGCUAUUCAGGUUCUUUUUUGAUUCCUUGUGAAUUUUAAAAUAGUUUUUUUUCCUAAUUCUGCAAAAAAUGUCAUUUAUUGGUAGUUUAAUAGGAAUAGCACUGAGUUUGUAAAUUGCUUUGGGCAGUGUGGCCAUUUUAACAAUAGUGAUUCUUCCUAUCCAUGAGCAUAGAAUGGUUUUCCAUUUGUAUAUUCAUCUCUGAUUUUUUUGAGCAGUGUUUUGUAAUUCUCAUUGUAGAGAUCUUAUAUGUUACCUGGUUAGCUGUAUUUCUAGGUAUUUUAUUCUUUUUGUGGCUGUUGUAAAUGGGAUUGCAUUCUUGAUUUGGCUCUCAGCUUGGACAUUGUUAGUGUACAGAAAUACUACUGCUUUUUGUACAUUGAUUUUUGUAUUCUAAAAUUUUACUGAAGCUAUCAGAUCUAGGAGCUUUUGGGCAGAGACUAUGGGGUUUUCUAGGUAUAGAAUCGUAUUGAUUGCAAACACUUUUAUUUCCUCUCUUCCUAUUGAAUGCCUUUUAUUUCUUUCUGUUGCCUGAUUGCUUUGGCAAGGACUUCCAGUACUCUAUUGAAUAGGAGUUUUGAGAGUGGGCAUCCUUGUCUUGUUCUGGUUUUCAAGGGGAGUGCUUCCAGCUUUUGUCCAUUCAGUGUGCUGUUGAUUGUGGGUUUGUCAUAAUUGGCUCUUAUUAUUUUGAAGUAUGUUCCUUCAGCGUUACAGAGUAAUGUAAAAACAUAGCUUUAGAAACAGUAUAGAGAUACUGGUAAAUAUAGAUAAGUUAUGAAGGAAGCAAUUAAAAUACUUGGCCAUCCCACUGUUGAGAAGACUUAUUGAAGCCUAUCUCCUCACUGUGCAGCCUCCCCUUUGAUUAAGAUCCUUUCUUCCCACACAGCCACACUGGGAGGGCUGGAGAAGGAUCUCUCUACUUUCUCUGCUCCCAAGAGACCAGUGGCUAUCUGCAUGGGGAGAGUCCUGGGCUCUACUUCAGUUCCUUGGGGGUGGCACCAUGGUAUCACCUCUGUGUGGCAAGCAGUGUGAAUCUGGGCCCUUCCCCAUCUCUUGCCCCGCCCAGGGCUGGGCCUCGAAGGUAGCCUGGGUCUCUUCUCUAGGUUGCUAGGGUCGCAGUGUCUAGGUCUGGGCUGGGAGGAAGAAGGACUCAUCCAGCUUGGAGCCUGAGCUGUGGUUCCAGCCCGUCCUUUGAGCCAGGGUGCGGGGCACUUGCCCGCUCAGCGCUCACUCAGGGGUUACUGUCCUGUGUAUGGCCACCAGGCAGCCGCCGUACCACUGUGCAUAAGCAGCUGUUUUCUGUAUUUCCUCUAAGUCUUGUUUUCUAUGCAUUGUAUUUACAUAGUCGAGUGCAUAUUAUCUAUAACAUUUUGUUUCAUGUUUUUUUCCCACAUUUAACCUUACAAUGUAGGCUUUUCCUUGUAUUAAGAAAUCUUUAUAAAAAUCAUUUCUACCUUCUGUACAUAAUGCUCUAUUGAGAUCAUGUAGCAUAAUUUCUGAAACCAUCCAGUGUUGGUGAAUCUUUUCUUUUAGUUUUUCUUUCCUUUAGGCAUGGUGUAAUUUUUAAGAAAAGCCUGUACUUUUCAAACAGCGACUGUCAUAUUACUUUUAAGUAUGUUAAAUUUGAAGAUUUUGAAUUAAGGAGCAUUGUUCCAUCACCUUGAAUUCCACAGUUUAAGCAGACAAUUGUAUUUUAGCUUAAACAUUUUUAGCAGAGCAAGAAACAAAGAAGUAUUUGCCCCCCUCCCCAUCUUUGAUGCCUCCGUGCUAUUUAAAUGUAGAAACAGUCUUGACUGAGUCCUUUGGACUGAUAGCUCGGAGUGGCUGGAUGUCUUGACUGAGUACUUUGGACGGAUAACUCGGAGUGACUGGAUGUUGGUUGUGCUGCAGGCGAGCAAUAGGACCACAUUUUGGAAAAGGUGAAGAGUGUUUUACAAUGGAUUCUCACCAUCAGUAUGUUUAAUAUCUAAUUGACUUGAUUUUCUAUGUCAUUUUCUCUUAAAUUACUCUUGAAAGCAAAUGUGCAAUGGGAUUAGAAUAAAUAGUGCAUUUACUUAAGAACAUUAAGAAUAUUUAUUUUGCCGGGUGCGGUGGCUCACGCUUAUAAUCCCAGCACUUUGGGAGGCCGAGGUGGGCAUCAGGAGUUCGAGACCAGCCCGACCAACGUGGUGAAACCCCUUCUCUACUAAAAAUACAAACAUUAGCUGGGCAUGGUGGCGCAUGCCUGUAAUCCCAGCUACUUGGGAGGCUGAGGCAGGAGAAUUGCUUGAACCCGGGAGGUGGAGGUUGCAGUGAGCCAAGAUUGUGCCAUUGCACUCCAGCCUGAGCAACAAGAGUGAAACUCUAUCUCAAAAAAAAAACAAAAACAAAAACAUUAUAUUCCUGUUUGUAAGUCAGAUUCUUAAAGUAUAGAUUGUUCUUAAGCAUGUGGUUACCCAGAGAGGACACUCUAGCAUAUGGCUCCUGGAGCUGGAGGACUGCUAGGGUUGUGAUGAGUGUGUGGUGGGGAUGGCAGGUAAAAUCCCCACAGCCGGUGGGACACAUGAGAGGAUGAACGCAGAGAACAUGCUCACAGCUGGAUUUUAGCAGCAUAGUCAUUCUUUUGCUUAUUUCCAUUAUCGGAGUAUUGAUAGAGCUUUGAGUGACAGUGAGGGAAAGAAGAGCUGGUGCUAGUUUCUCAUUGAUAAGUUGUAGCUUUAGAAUGAUUUGUUUUAGCUUUCCAUUGUUAGCAUUUAAAUUUUACUUCCCUCCACCUUGUUUUUUUUGUGUUGUCUAAACCAAGGCUACUGCCAAAUACAUCCUUUGCCUGACUUCCUUGAAUGUUCCUCAUAGCUUAGGUGCUUUUGUGCUCCACAGUUAAUCUCGGAAACAUUGAAAGGUAAAAACCAAAGCAUCUGAGCGUAGCACAUUUUCUGUAGCAGUUCUAGACCCACGUGAGACAAGCAGAGAGUUCCCUGGGGUUGCUCGUGUGUGGAAUAGCGAAGUGGAGGUGGCUGGCUUUGCAGCCCCUGAACUGACUGUGCAGGUGCCACAUCUUUGCAUUGCCCACGACUCAUAUAUAUUCAUUUUUUCUAGUUAAAAACAUUUCGGAAAUAAUUAGUGUAAUGGACUUACUGUUUAAAAGAUUGGAAAGUUUAAUAACAGUAUGGCUUUGCCAUCCCAGAAGCUGUCACUUGAAUGUUUGGCUAAUUUUUUUCUGGCCUUUUACUCUGUAGAUUCUUUUCCAUAGUAGCUAUUAUAUUAUGCAUGCACAUUUCAAUAUUGCUUUUUGCUUAGUAUCUAACCAUUUUCCAGUGUCAUUCAACAGUUUUAAAAAAUACGUGUUUUAAAAGUAGCAACAUACUACUUUCAAUAAUGGCUAGAAAAAUGAGACAAAUCAGCAAGAAACUAGAAGAAUAAACAACACAGAAAACCAACUAGAUCUAGUAGAUAUCCACAGAACACUGCACCCAACAGCAGCAGGAUACAUGUUCCUCUCAAGUGCUUGUGGAGCAUUCUCUACAAUAGACCAUAUGCUAGGCCAUAAAACAAGCCGUAAUACUUUUGAGAAGAUGGAGUUUAUACAAAGUGUGUUCUUUGACCACAGUGGCAUUAAGUUAGAAGCCAGUAACAGAAGGAAAUUUGAAGAAAAUGACAAAUAUGUAGACAUUUUAGAACACACCCUAAAUAACCAGUGGGUCAAAGAAGAAAUCGUAAGGGAAAUUAGAAAUUGCUGUGAGAUGAAGAAAAUGAAAACACAAUAUAUCAGCACUUACAGGAUGCAGUUAAAGCAGUGAUCCAAGAGAAAUUUAUAGUUGUAACGGACUAUAUUAAAAAAGACCUCAAAUCAUUAACUUUCCACUUUCCGAAACUUAGAAAAAGAAGGGUAAAAUAAAGCCAAAACAAACAGAAGGGAGAAAAUAAUGAAGACUAGAACAGAAAUAAGUGAAACAGACUUGUAGCUAGACUGACCAGAGAGAGAGAGAAAACUCAAGUUACUAAAUUCAUGAGAAAUUUUAGAAAUACACAGCAUUAAAGUAAUACUAUGAACGACUCUACAAACCAGGCAGUGUAUAUGAAACAGAGAAACUCCUAGAAACACACAAAUUGCCAAAAUUGACUAUGAUGGUUAAUUUUGUGCUGACUUGGCUGGGCUGUGGUGCCCUGUUGUUUGGUCCAACUCCAGUCUAUUUGUAGCUGCAGUGUAGAUGUAUUUUAGAUGUGAUUAACAUUUAAAUCGGUGGACUUUGAGUAAAGCAGGUUACCCUCCACAAUGUAGGUGGGCCUCCUAAUCUAAUCAGGUGAAGGCCAUGAGCUUGAAGAGUGAAGUUUCUUGAAGAAGUAGGAAUUCUUCUCAAGACUGCCUCACGGGAAAUCCUGACCGAGUUCCUAGCCUGCUAGCCUACCCUACAUAUUUCAGACUUGCCAGUCCCUACAAUUGUGUGAGCCAAUUCCAUAAAAUAAGUCUCUCUUUGAGACUGAAUUAAUUAUUAACAAUUUAAAAUUAACAAUGAACUAAUUUUCAUCAAUAAUUUAAAUAAUGUUAACUUGUUAUUAAUUAGUAUUAAUUAUUGAAACAAUAAUUUCAAAAAUCCCCACAAAGAAAAUCGUAGGACUAGAUGACUUCACUUGUGAAUUUUAUCAAAGGUUUAACAAAGAAUUAACACUCUUUCUUCAUAGACUCUUUCAAAAAAUAGAAGAGGAGGGAGCACUUUUCACCUCAUUCUAUGUGGCCGAUAUUACUCUGAGACCAAAGUGAGAUGAAGACAUAACAAGGAAAGAAAAUUACAGAACAAUAUUCCUUAUCACAAUGGACUUAAAAAUCCUCAGCAAAGUCCUAACAAACUAAAUCUAGCAACGUAUUGAAAGGAUUAGGCAUUAUUACAAGUGGAAUUUAUUUGAGGAAUGCUGGGAUGGUUCAACAUUUGAAAGUCAAUCCGUGUAAUACACUGUAUUAACAGAAUAAAGGACAAAAACUACAUGAUCAUCUCA